rnacentral:rRNA from 1 species
AUACGGAGGAUCCGAGCGUUAUCCGGAUUUAUUGGGUUUAAAGGGUGCGCAGGCGGCCAUUUAAGUCAGCGGUUAAAUCGUGGGGCUCAACCCCAUUCUGCCGUUGAUACUGGGUGGCUUGAUUGCGGUCGAGGUUGGCGGAAUUCGUUGUGUAGCGGUGAAAUGCAUAGAUAUGACGAAGAACACCGAUUGCGUAGGCAGCUGACCAGACUGCAAAUGACGCUCAUGCACGAAAGUGCGGGGAUCGAACAGGAUUAGAUACCCUGGUAGUCCGCACAGUAAACGAUGAAUACUUGUUUUCGGCGAUAUAAUGUCGGAGGCAAAGCGAAAGCGAUAAGUAUUCCACCUGGGGAGUACGCCGGCAACGGUGAAACUCAAAGGAAUUGACGGGG